AACGAACGCUGGCGGCAUGCCUAACACAUGCAAGUCGAACGAGACCUUCGGGUCUAGUGGCGCACGGGUGCGUAACGCGUGGGAAUCUGCCCUUGGGUUCGGAAUAACAGUUGGAAACGACUGCUAAUACCGGAUGAUGACGUAAGUCCAAAGAUUUAUCGCCCAAGGAUGAGCCCGCGUAGGAUUAGCUAGUUGGUGAGGUAAAGGCUCACCAAGGCGACGAUCCUUAGCUGGUCUGAGAGGAUGAUCAGCCACACUGGGACUGAGACACGGCCCAGACUCCUACGGGAGGCAGCAGUGGGGAAUAUUGGACAAUGGGCGAAAGCCUGAUCCAGCAAUGCCGCGUGAGUGAUGAAGGCCUUAGGGUUGUAAAGCUCUUUUACCCGGGAUGAUAAUGACAUUACCGGGAGAAUAAGCUCCGGCUAACUCCGUG
rnacentral:rRNA from 1 species